rnacentral:rRNA from 1 species
CCUACGGGUGGCAGCAGUGGGGAAUAUUGCACAAUGGGGGAAACCCUGAUGCAGCGACGCCGCGUGAGUGAAGAAGGAUUUCGGUAUGUAAAGCUCUAUCAGCAGGGAAGAAAAUGACGGUACCUGAUUAAGAAGCCCCGGCUAACUACGUGCCAGCAGCCGCGGUAAUACGUAGGGGGCAAGCGUUUUCCGGAUUUACUGGGUGUAAAGGGAGCGUAGACGGCAGCACAAGUCUGGAGUGAAAUGCCGGGGCUUAACCCCGGAACUGCUUUUGAAACUGUGCAGCUAGAGUGCAGGAGAGGUAAGGGGAAUUCCCGGUGGAGCGGUGAAAUGCGUAGAUAUUAGGAAGAACACCAGUGGCGAAGGCGGCUUACUGGACCGUUACUGACGUUGAGGGUCGAAAGCGUGGGGAGCAAACAGGAUUAGAUACCCUGGUAGUC